rnacentral:snRNA from 1 species
AAGGUUUACUACAUAUUAAAUUGAUUUUUCGAACAGCGAGUCGGAAAUGGGGCUUGCUCCGUCCGCUCCGCGCAUCGACCCGGUAUUGCAGUACCUCCGGGAACGGUGCAACACUU